rnacentral:piRNA from 1 species
UGAUAUCAAGGGUCAAGCCCUCCCUGC